AUGGCAUCCAAACGCCAGACUCUGUCAUUUCUGGUACAGCGGGUGUCCCAAGCCCUGGGGCCAUGGACUGAUACCAGUCCCUAUGACCUGUGGGGAACCAGGCUGCACAGCAGGAGACAAGUUGACCUUUUUUUCCGGCUGGAAUCAUGAAGUGUAGAAGAGAAGACGAAAUAGAUCCCUGCUGUGCCAGAAGCCCUUAAGAAACAGUGAAGGAAUUUCACAGAACUGAAGAUGAAGCACCUGAAAAAGAAGUUUGCCCAAAAGAUGCUUUGAAGGCAAGGAGGAAGCCUAUCUAUGAAAAGGCGAAGGACUGUCACAAGUAAUAUAGGCAGAUGUGCAGAACUGAAAUUUGAAUGGCGAGGAUGGCAAGGAAAGCUGGUAACUUCUAUGUACCUGCAGAGCCCAAAUUGGCAUUUGUCAUCAGGAUCAGAGGUAUCAAUGGUGUGAGCCCAAAGGUCUGAAAGGUGUUGCAGCUUCUUCGCCUUCAUCAAAUCUUCAAUGGAACCUUUGUGAAGCUCAACAAGUUAACAUGCUGAAAAUUGUAGAGCCAUAUAUUGCAUGGGGGUACCCAAAUCUGAAGUCAGUAAAUGAACUAAUCUAUAAGCAUGAUUAUGGCAAAAUCCAUAAGAAGCAAAUUGCUUUAAGAGAUAAUGCUUUGAUUGCUUGAUCUCUUGGUAAAUAUGGCAUCAUCUGCAUGGAGGAUCUGAUUCAUGAGAUCUAUACUGUUGAAAAAUGCUUCAAAGAAGCAAAUAACUUCCUGUGGCCCUUCAAAUUAUCUUCUCCAAGAGGCGGAAUAAAGAAAAAGACCACCCAUUUCAUAGAAGGCAGAGAUGCUGGCAACAGGGAGGACCAGAUCAACAGGCUUAUUAGAAGAAUGAACUAAGAUGUCUACCACGAUUGUUUUCUAAGCUGGUUGGUUAAUAAACAGUACCUGCUCUCAAAUU